AUUUCUCUUCAUUUUAGCCGUCCUUAUCCUUUGAGAAUAAGAAAGAAAUGGAAUAUGAUUAGAGAGGACGGGAACCUCAAAAUCCAGCAACAGGGCUAGAGUGUUCAGCUUUCGGCUUUAAUUGGGGAUUUGAAUGAACUCAAGUUCUCCUGGGCAGUGCCAUUGGACCGUCUUCACUUAUCUUUAACUCUUCAAAACAUGUGGUAAGCAUUUGGAGUUGGUGUCCUUCACCUUUUUGGUUCCCUCAUAAG